CCACAGGAGGAAGUGAUGCCACAACAGACACACAGAGUGUCCGUCCUGACUGUAACAGUGACACGUACACAGGUCUGAACAUGAAGACCAUGUCCCCUGACUAUGACACUCUGGCAAAUGUCCAUCCUGACCCUAACAAUGACGCCAACAGUGACAUGUACUCACCUCUGAACAUGAAGACCAGGUCACCAGAGUAUGACACCCUGGCAAAUGUGAGGUGACCCUCCCACUGAAGAGAACCACCCCAGAACCUGAUCUGAAGAGAACCACCACAGAUCCUGGACUAAAGAGAACCACCACCAAAUCUGGACUGAAGAGAACCACCACAGAAGCUGGACUGAAGAGAAUCACCACAGAAGCUGGACUGAAGAGCUACGGUUCCAAUCCAAAGCUAGYCCUCACACCUCUAUUCUCUUGCUAUCAUAUCUAGAUGGUUUUCCAGACCAUGAACUUUAGCUUUUGAGUAAAUGCUGGAAUAUAUUUUCUUAUUAUAUUUUUUUAUUUUGAUGAUAAAUGGGAUGGGUUAUGCUUCUGCUUUUUUUCAAUGGGAUUUUUCCAUUUCCAUAUUUUUUCUUGUGUAGCAAUCUGUUUACUAUCUAUAGUUUAAGAUUAUAUUUCGAUGGGAUUUUGCUAUUUUAGGGAUUUAUAACAUCAACAGUCCUACUUUCCUCAGCAACUAAUAUGGAUAAUAUUGAUAACAGCGUUUUAAUAUAUUUAGCUUUUGGGACAAGUUUCCCCUGAUGUGUUUAAUGAUUUACGUUGUAUUGC